UAAGGAAUAUUGGUCAAUGGAGGCAACUCUGAACCAGCCAUGCCGCGUGAAGGAUUAAGGCCCUCUGGGUUGUAAACUUCUUUUAUAUGGGAAGAAAUGUUCUGAUUCUUCAGAGCUUGACGGUACCAUAGGAAUAAGCACCGGCUAACUCCGUGCCAGCAGCCGCGGUAAUACGGAGGGUGCAAGCGUUAUCCGGAUUCACUGGGUUUAAAGGGUGCGUAGGUGGGCAGAUAAGUCAGUGGUGAAAUCUUCCGGCUUAACCGGAAAAUUGCCGUUGAUACUAUUUGGCUUGAAUAUUGUGGAGGUAAGCGGAAUAUGUCAUGUAGCGGUGAAAUGCUUAGAUAUGACAUAGAACACCAAUUGCGAAGGCAGCUUACUAUAUAAUUAUUGACACUGAGGCACGAAAGCGUGGGUAGCGAACA
rnacentral:rRNA from 1 species